rnacentral:rRNA from 1 species
UGGAUGCCCACACCUUGAACUGUGUGCGCACCGCCCAAAUCCGAUGUCCGCGAGCCUGAGGAAUGCAGCCGACGUAGUGAGAUUCAAUCUCGUUUGCUGUAAAACCUGACAGAGGCAACGGGACCUUAAGCGUUAUGCGCCAACAUCAGACGGUUGAACUUCGGAUCAGGUAGGAAAACCCC